UAAAAAGUCUGAUGAUAAGUUUUAGACCAAUGAAAUUUGAGCCGGGCGUGGCUUUGACCCUUCGUCAUGGGGUGAAACAGUCCUUUUUGGAGCCACAGCCAACCUGGACACACUGCCUGCAGAAGAUGGCUUGUGGAUGAAGAGGAAAAUGAAGAUGAAGUUUCACAGGAAGAUGUUCCAUGCUCACCCUGUUGGAGAACACCCCACAAUGCCAACAUCACUGAUUACCCAGAAUGACAGGCCAACCUGUCAUCCCCCCCCCCGCGCGGUCGUCCCAGUUCCACAAUUGCCGCGCAAUACAAACAAAGAAAAGAGGAGAACAGGACCCACUACACCUAUUCCGGACCCUGAUGUGCGUCUGGAUGCCACAGCCCACUGGAUGGUCAUGGAUGAAAAAAAAGGGAGAUGCAAGGUACCAGGAUGCAAAGGUACACCUAAAGCCAAGUGCCAAAAAUAUGACGCCCACCUCUGUUUCACAUCCACCAGCAACUGCUUCAUGAGAUUCCAUACAGAAUAAUACAGACUGUGC